rnacentral:rRNA from 1 species
UGGGGAAUAUUGCACAAUGGGCGCAAGCCUGAUGCAGCCAUGCCGCGUGUGUGAAGAAGGCCUUCGGGUUGUAAAGCACUUUCAGCGGGGAGGAAGGCGUUAAGGUUAAUAACCUUUGCGAUUGACGUUACCCGCAGAAGAAGCACCGGCUAACUCCGUGCCAGCAGCCGCGGUAAUACGGAGGGUGCAAGCGUUCAUCGGAAUUACUGGGCGUAAAGCGCACGCAGGCGGUCUGUCAAGUCGGAUGUGAAAUCCCCGGGCUCAACCUGGGAAAUGCAUGAGAAACUGGCAGGCUAGAGUCUUGUAGAGGGGGGUAGAAUUCCAGGUGUAGCGGUGAAAUGCGUAGAGAUCUGGAGGAAUACCGGUGGCGAAGGCAGCCACCUGGACGAAGACUGACGCUCAGGUGCGAAAGCGUGGGGAGCAAACAGG